GAGACAGCAGUCGCCACGGGAACACGUAGGGUGCAAGCGUUAAUCGGAAUUACUGGGCGUAAAGCGUGCGCAGGCGGUUAUAUAAGACAGAUGUGAAAUCCCCGGGCUCAACCUGGGAACUGCAUUUGUGACUGUAUAGCUAGAGUACGGCAGAGGGGGAUGGAAUUCCGCGUGUAGCAGUGAAAUGCGUAGAUAUGCGGAGGAACACCGAUGGCGAAGGCAAUCCCCUGGGCCUGUACUGACGCUCAUGCACGAAAGCGUGGGGAGCAAACAGGAUUAGAUACCCCCGUAGUCCCUGUCUCUUAUAC
rnacentral:rRNA from 1 species